rnacentral:lncRNA from 1 species
AUGCUGUUUCGUAUUAAUUUAAUUCUGCUUUGUGUGUUUUGCAUAAGUUUGGUUAAACCACUCCUUACGAUGGCCGCAGCUAUGGACAUUCAAAUGCUGGACUCGGGAUUAGAUCAGGGACAAAUCGUUCGCAGAGCCAUACCUGAGUUCGACGAAUUCGACGACGUUAGUGGAAAUGACGAGCCGAAGGGAUUACUGGAACGUCGUGGAAAGAAGGGUGGCAGACACAGAGGGGGAGGGCAUCACUCCCGCCCUCCUCCCCCGAGGGGUCACUGCACAAACGACCAAUACGGAUGCACCAACUGAACAGCGCCACGCGUUGGACUCAAUUCUAGUAUUUAUUCUCUCAAAUUGAUCUGCACUGGAUCAACUUACAUUAUUUUUUGAAUUUAAGAUAUAUUAUUUAAUAUAUCAUUAUUUUUUAAAGAUAAUGAAUGAAACCAUUUCUUAUAAUCAAAUCUAGCCUUGGAGAUGACGAGUAAGUUUCCUCUCAUCAUAGAUAAUUAUGAGCUCCCUUACAUAAAUGCACCUGGUAGUAACUGUCAAUAGUUGACAACAGUCUUCUGCCGAUUCCUUUUUUGAUCCUCACUAGCCUUAUACUUUGUGAGGCGAGGUGGAGGUACUACCCCUGCGUAGAAAGAUAAGUUUCUUGAAUUUAACAUGUUCCUGACUUUUCCCUGUUUCUGAGAAUACAAUUAUCCAGCAGUUCCUUGACUUUUCAAGUAUGCUGCCAUGAGAUUGCAUUCCACAGAACAAAACAAGGUCAAAACUCAAGACAUAUCAUUUGAAAUAAUAAGUUCUCGACAAAAAAAGAAUGAAUCUUUAGAUUUGAUGUUUGGCAUUUCCUGACUUGGAAUAAAGAUAACAGAAAUAACGAGUGGCAAGGCGUGAAUGAUCAACCAUCAACAUGCCCCCAUUUGAAGCUGCAGUAAAGAAUCGACUUUGAAGGCAUUCGUUGCGAAUACUUUGUUUAUCGAUCCUUCUCCGUAGGUUUAAAUGGCAGAUCGAUCGAUACAUUGCAAAGCACACCACACCCCUAAAAAUAACUAAAAUCAUAGUUAUAUUUUUAAAUAUUAACUCUAUCAAUAGUGUACAAUUAAACAAACAAAAUUCACAAGAUUCUGUAAAACUCACUGGUUUUACCCAAGGUAGAUUAACACAGGUAUGGACAAGUUGAAAAUCCGGCCUCUGAUGGGCUCUCUAGUGGCCCCUUAAUGACCGCCAUUUGUAUGCUUUAAUUAUUGUGAUUGGUUGGUGAUUUAUUGGUUAUGUUUCUCCUAUUUUGAAAUAAUUCGUUAUUUAAGUUUUGGAGAUAAUUUAAUUGUUCCCGAGGAUCUCAUUACCUAUCAAUGUUAAUGUGUGAUAAUGUUUUGAUGUUUAAAUGGAGCAAUACAUUCAAUGAAAUUGAGAAUCGCGCGGUCAAACGGGCCCCUUAACCUACGUCACGAAGUCAUGUGACACGUACUGAGGCUCAUGGGAAAUUUUCAACUUGUCCAUACCUGUGUUAAUCUACCUGGGGUUUUACCUGACUUUUAAACACCUUACGACCCUGCUCUAGUAAUUUAUAGCGGCCAAAUAUUAAAUCAGAUGAAGAAGAAAUCACCUGCUAAACGUCUCGGCAGCCGGAUAAAAAAGCUCCGGUAGCAAGCAGACAACCUCGGAAGGAUAGGGGCGGAUGGGCAUAAAUUUGAAUGAAAAUCUCGAUUGGGGUGGCGCGGGAAACGGCCCUCUGGAAGCGGAAAGCUGUGUUCGGCCACUUGAUGAUGUCGUGGGGGAUUGUUUUUACUUGUCGCCGUAACCGAUGGGGGUGGAUAUUACCGGUUGCCUAACGGCAUACCACUUGCGAACUGCGGUCUUUCCGCUAAAAGCUGGGGAAGGUGUAAAACAUACAAUAUGCACGGGAUAUAAUCAUUUCUUGAGGCUUUCUGAAAGUUUCUCGUUGUCUUGCUUGGCCGCUUUGUUCUACACAUCUUUAUCAGUUUGACUAAAAAUGCGCGGUUGGGGGGGGGGGGGGCCCUUUGCAAGAGAAGGGUUGCUUUGCGAGAGUGCAAUUAUGAUGGUAAAAAUCGCAGUUAUAAUGGUAGUUUUGAGAAAUGAACUUAAUACUUACCCUAGUGGAAGUCGACCUCGUGCGACGGGAGGUGGACCAUGGUCCACGUCCCGUCACCUUCCGUCACCUCCCGUGAGCCCGUGCAGAGGGAAGCGAAACAAAGGCAUAAUUUCGGGAAUCCCAUCCUUCGCAGAUGGUUGCACGAGGUGACGGGGACUCACCUUCCGCCGCACGCCUCUGCACAAGGUGGACUUCCACUAGGGUAGGCCAGGUCUGUAACUCUGGCAGGAUUCAGUCGAGAUUUGCGAAUUUUAGGAAUUAAAAAAUUGAGAAUUGGUGUACUUUAUUUUUUCUUUUCUUCUUCUUUUACAUUCAGUACAAUUUCUUUAAAAAUAGAUUAUUGCGAGGAAUUGCAUUGUGUUAGAGGUAUUUUGUUUAAUUUUACUUAUAAGGUAUUUAAAAAUUGUUCCUUUCACAAUGCUAAGCUCAGAGGUUUCUUAAAUCAAAAUGCAAACCGAGGUGGUCCUCCUUAAGGCGAGGAGCUAUUAGAGGAAUCACUAUUAAUACGGUUCUAAGACCCGGAAAACAUAGAGACAGGAUUUUGUGACAAUCGCACAGUCGAAAUAUCAAUCGGCAAUGUGCCGGCCAGCGAUUUUUAUUCUAAACUCUUCGACAACGGUAAAAAUUAGCAUAACUGAACAAAACAGCACGGUCCCAAUCAGAGUCAUACUUCAAGUCGAAUCGGAAAUUGCACAGAACAGUGCACGCAUAAAAGCACGGUUCCACAGACAACACGCGACGUGAAGUGCGCCGCACACUGGACCGAGAGGAGAGGUCGAACAAUAUCUGGAAACUCUCAAAGUAAUAUUUUCGAAAAUAUGAAACAAAGAAAUUUAAAAGUUGUUCCAUUGGUUUUUCGCACAAUUUACUAUCAGAAACCUUUUUUAAAAUUGAAUUUGUGACGAAGUCAACAUAAAAAUUUGAAAUUUUAGCCAAUUGAUCUAUUUGAUUCAUUGAUCUUUAACCUGCCUCUUGCCACUGAAAAAAAACUACUUUUUAAGCUUGUUUUUUAAAAAAAAUAAUUGCACCCGAGCACUUGUAGAGAUAUAGAAUUUCAUAAAAUUCAUUGGCGUCGAAUUUAUGACAUUUUUUAAAACUUUUGCUGAUGUAUUUAAGAGUUCAAGAUACACCUAAAAACAGUGGUACCUCGAUUUUGAAAUGUUUUAGUCCACUCCCCUCAGAGUUUCAUAAGCUUCAUUCCCGUCAAAUUCAUGACAUUUUUUGAACCUCUUCCUACUCCAUUUAAGAGGCCAAGAAACGCCUAAAAAGUGAUACCUCGAUUUUGAAAUAGUUUACUCCUUUCAUCUUCCCCUCUCCCCCCUCCCUUCCCUUCUACCCCUCUUCCCUCCCAUCCACCCCCUCUCCCCUUAUCCUCCCCUCCCUGCGCCUCGAAUCCCACCGUUUUUUUUUCGGUCAUAUAUUUGUUAAAACCAAAAUGUCGCGCAGCCGACUCCUCGUCGCAGGCUGUCUAUGGAACCGCGGCUGAAUGUUGCUCGGCGCGACGACGACGCAGACGGCACGAAGAUCAUUUCGCGGGACGCGGAGCGAGAGCAAUAACACGGAGUAAGUUCCAUUCCACGGGACCGGAGUAAAUUAAACGCUAUGCAAGAGCGGCAACGAAAUAAUCCCGGAUCGCUUAUGGACACGGAUCUGAACUGCAAGCGGAAGUUUGAGUCAUUAGGCACAACCGAAAUGCCCCUCAUUAUCACUCGUUCCCUCCGCUGCGAGCCAUGGCAGAGCGCUCCAGCAUUCUGCACUCGUUGCAAUGGAUUCCAAUAUCAUAUCCAGAAUCCAGACUCAAUAGAGUCGCUUCGCGGACGAAAGAACCUAACUACAUUUGGACGUCUUUAUGCUGAAAGGAACUAUAUUGCACGUAAAAUCUUUGCAUACAGUCGUUCUAUUACGUAACGCAGCUUUUCCGGAUUUUCAACCCCCUUCUUGUAACGCACCCGUAACUCAGCCCUAACAAGCCCCCUUCUUCUAAUUACAUAAUGCUAGCCUCACCCCCCCCCCCCCAUUUUCAAAAAAUCAAGAAACCGCUGAGACAACAACUUGAAGAAAUUCCGGUUUUUUUUUCUUAGAUAUUUCACCGAAAAACAACGGGAGGAGAUCAACAAAGAUGUAAAAAUACAUGAUUAGAUUUGUUUUAUUCAUAAAUUUACCGGAAAAGUCUACUUGGACAAUAUUUUGAAAACGUGUUUUUCGUCUGGGCAGUUCUAUACGCACCUCGCUCUCAAACGCACCAGACCUCUAGAUUUUAAUUUUGAGUUCCUAUAUAUUUCCUAAAUAGUCUGUAGUUUUAAACAUAUUUACUAAUCAUAUUUAAUAUUUAUUUCUUUAUUUUUUAUUGUUCCUAUCUGAAUUGUAUUUUUCAUGUUUGUUGAAUAAAAUUAUGCGUCUAAACAAAAUUGACCGAAUUAUAAUUGAUCUGCGCAUUGAACUGAUGAACUACAAUUUGAAAUAAUAUUUCCAACAUACUCCAUAAAUUAAAGAAAAUUACAUCCCAUUUUGCAACCGUGCUCUUCACAAAUUUUGAGACAAAUUUUCACGGUCAAAAUAUUUUUCUCGGCUUCGAAUUUUUGACACUAGAAAAUUUACGAUUAAAAUGCAACUUUAGUCGUUCCUGUGAAAUUCAUUUCCUGGUGCGAUGUUGCUGAAAUUCUGCGACUGAAAUCAGAGGUGGUUGGCCAAGACGAAGCAGGUAAGUAUACUUCCCGUCCAGACUUCCUCUUUCGAAUACGUCAACCGCCAACUAACACCCUCAGUUUUGCACACAACCCGACACUCAAAAAUAGACGCAGGACUUUGAAAUAGCCGUUUGACAGCACAGUAAACUCCUUCCAUUAAUUCGCCGAGCAGAAUCGUCAAGUAAGUUGAUAUUUCCCGACGGAAAAGCGGGAGGAAGAGGCAAACCGCUGAUAUUAACCUCAUUCAAAAGCGAAAAAUAAACACGGGCUUAAAUCACCGGAUUUAUUGCCGCGUACGAGACACUAUUUUUAAAUUUCGAAGUAUUUCUGCCAAACGGAACUAU